UGUGGAAAGAAAAGAAAUAUUUGGAAUGUGUUUACAUUCCAACAUGUUUUUUAAUUGAAAACAAUUUUUUGUUGUAAAUAAAUUGGAAUAAAUUAACAAUUGAAAACUCGUGUGUGUGUACAUGACUUAUGGUCUUGACGUCGAAAACUACAACAAUGAAAGGAGGCACAUCCCGGCCACCGUUGCAACAACACAUCUAUAGAAGAAUGCGACAAAUUGGACUUAUACUCAUCGUACUUAAUGCAAUAUGGAGUCAGCCGGCCUUUGGAGGUGUUGAGGCGAAGCCAG
rnacentral:sRNA from 1 species